AAACACCAACUCGAUGAAGCAUAGUUCUUCGAGAGCAAUACGACCGCGAUCCUUGAUUCUCUAAUCGCUUGUGUGAGUGAAGGGGCGAUGAUCUGGCCUCUCUCGAUCCCGUUGUCAUCGAACAUCGUAAUCCCAUUAUAGCUAAAUUGUUUGCGUAAAUGACUAAGAAAUGUUUUACGAACAUCAGGACCGUGGAAGCUCGUGAAGACACGAUAUUUCCAGGUGAGAGGUGAAGAAGAAGAAGACAUGAGAGAGGUUCUUGAGUGGUUCAGAAUGAGGUAUUUGUUAGAAACUUGUGUUUCUCUGAAUAAACACAAGAACUUUCUGAUUAUCAGAAAUAUAUUCUGAUAAAACACUCUAUUUUCUAUACAGAAUUUGAUAUAAAACAGAGUAUGAAGUAAGAACAGAAACUGACUCUUUAUUGAAUCUGAAACUUGGUUUUUACAUCACGUUUACAACAUCUUAAAUAGUUACAUAACAGACACAACUCAACAGACACGAUUAAACAAAGAGAUGUGUCUUUUCUACUUGUGACUCUUAAAGAAAUAACACUCCCUAACGUAACCGACACGACUCUUAACUUUAUAUAACACAAACUCAAUUAUAAUCAACACUCCCUCUUAAUUGAGUUUCGGUGUUACUCCAAGCUUCCUCCUUAGUUCUUCAAACCUUGAGACGCCAAGUGCUUUCGUAAGCAGGUCUGCAAGUUGAACUUCUCCUUCACAAUACUUGAGUUGAAUAAGGCCUUUUUGUUCUGCCUCUCUAACAAAAUGAUACUUGAUCUCAAUGUGUUUAGUUCUUCGGUGUUGCACCGGAUUUCUGCCAAUUGCAAUUGCAGACUUGUUGUCGCAGAAAAUUGGAACACCGUCUUGAGAAACUAAGCCAAUUUCUCCCAAAAGCCUUUGUAACCAAAUAGCUUGAUUUGCUGCUGCACACACUGCGAUAUACUCCGCUUCCGCAGUUGAUUGAGCCACUGUUUGUUGCUUGCUUGAUUGCCAACAAAAUACUGCAGAUCCAAGAGUGAAAACAUACCCAGAUGUGCUCUUUUUGUCUUCAUUUGAGCCUCCCCAGUCGCUAUCUGAGUAACCGUAUAACUCCGGAUUGUUGACGCUUGUAAACUGAACUCCAAAAUGAGAUGUACCUUUGACAUAUCUGAAAACUCUCUUGGCUUCUUCAUAGUGCUUUGUAAGAGGUGCAGCCAUGUAACGUGAGAGAUAAGAACUUGCAAACAUUAAAUCUGGCCUUGAUGCACACAGAUAAAGCAAGCCACCAACGAUACUGCGGUACUUUGUCGCUUCAUCAUAUUCUUCAUCAUUCUCAUGGUUCUUGCCGUGUGGUGUAAGUGGAGUGCUCACACUCUUGCAAUUUUUCAUACCAAACUUCUCAAGAAGCUUGCAAGCAUAUUUUUCUUGUGAAAGAAAAAUCCCAUGAUCAUCUUGAAUUACUUCUAUUCCAAGAAAGUAAUUCAGCAACCCCAAAUCUGUCAUCUCAAACUCCAACUUCAUGUCUUCCUUGAAUUUUUCAAUGAGUUGAGUGUUGUUACCGGUGAUGAUGAUGUCGUCUACGUACAAACUCACGAUCAUAAUCUCUUUGUUUUUCCUCAUCACGUACAGUGCCGCAUCAUUCAUACUCCUUUGAAAUCCAUGUUGGAGAAAGUAUGAAUCAAUUCUCCCAUACCAAGCCCUAGGGGCUUGCUUUAAGCCGUAUAACGCUUUUUUCAGCCUCAAAACUUUGUUUUCUUCACCUUCAACUAUGAAUCCAGGUGGCUGUGCAACAUAGAUCUCCUCUUCAAGUUCUCCGUUGAGAAAUGCCGACUUUACAUCCAUUUGAUAAAGUUUCCACUUCAUUUGUGCAGCGAACGCAAGAACGACUCGAAUUGUGUCAUGUCUUGAAACGGGAGCAAACGUUUCAAGAUAAUCAACACCAUAUUCUUGAGAGAACCCUUUUGCGACUAACCUUGCUUUGUACUUGGUUGGAUUUCCAUUUGUAUCUGUCUUGAUGCGAUAUAUCCACUUCACACCAAUGAUAUUUUUCUUCUCUGGUUUUUCUACAAGAUACCAAGUCUUGUUCUUCUCUAUCAUCUUAAUUUCUUCAUCCAUGGCUUCUCUCCAUUCCUUGAUCUCAGAAGCUUCAUCAUAUGAUUGUGGUUCCUCCGACACCAAAAAACAAGCUUCAUGUGUUUGUGCCGUUUCCACAAACUCCACCCUUGGUGCUUUUUGCAUAAUCUCAGUCAUUGACUUAUAUUUCCUUGGUGGCUCCGAAGUCUCUCCUUUUUCUCCAUUGUUUUCUCCAUCACUGAGUUGAAAAUGAAUAGGGCUGGAAAUUCCUUGAACUUUCUCCGUUUGUGGCUCUUGAUCAUUUAUGGGCAAGACAAAUUUUCUUUUGACUUCUUCUUGUCUUUCCCAAUUCCACUUCUUUCCUUCUUCAAAUGCCACGUCUCUUGAUAUCUCCACCUUUUCAUUUUCUAAAAUGAGCACUCUGUAGCCUUUUGAUUGGUUACUAUAACCAAUGAAAAUUCCACGUUUAGCCUUCACGUCUAAUUUGCUUCUCUUCUCAUCGGGUACAUGAACAAGGCAUAAACUUCCAAAUAUCUUCAAGUGUCCAACCGCCGGUUUAUGCCCACUCCAUUUUUCAAUAGGUGUGAUGUCAUCUUUGAUGGCUUUUGUUGGUAAACGAUUUUGCAAAUAUGCUGACGUAUACACCGCCUCUGCCCAUAAUUUAUGUGGUAAUCCUUGAUCUGUAAUCAUGGUUCUCGCCAUCUCCACAAGCGAUCGAUUUUUACGUUCCGCAAUACCGUUUUGCUGAGGCGAAUACGGCACCGUCACUUGUCUCUCGAUUCCACAUUCUUGACAAAAUUUGAUGAAUUCACGAGUAAAUUCACCACCACCAUCUGAUCGUAACUUCUUAAUAUGACAUCCCGAUUGAGUCUCCACCAAGGCUUUGAACUUUUUGAACAUUGAGAAAGCUUCCGACUUGUAAUUGAUAAAAUAUACCCAACACAUGUGAGUAUAAUCAUCCACAAAUAGCAAGAAGUACCGGCUUCCAUCAAGUGAUGCAGUUUGCAUCGGGCCGCAAAUGUCGGUGUGAACGAUCUCAAGUUUCUCCUUCGUUUUUGUUUGAAACUCCUUUGGAAAAAGCAUCUCUUGCUUGCUUCCCAAGUUUGCAUGCUCCACACAUUUCUUUGUUCACUUGAAAUUUUGGUAAUCCAAUUACCAUCUCCUUAGUUUGCAUUUGUUGAAGCCUUGAAUUGCCCACGUGACCAAAUCUUCUAUGCCAUAUUUCUGCUGUUUCUUGCUCACUUGUAAUCAUCGCCAACUCUUGUGAUGGAUUCCAUUUGAUUGGAAAACUCUUGUUCAUCAUUUGUAUCUCCAUGAUUUUCCUUCCCUUAGAAUCUGAGAUUAGGCACCGCUUGUUCCCAAACAUCAUACUAUUUCCACCAGAUAUGAGUUGUGGAACGCUGAUUAAAUUCUUCUCCAAACCGGGCACCAAAAAUACGUCUUUUAUUACUCGCUUUCCUCUGUUUGUCAUGACGUUAAUAUCUCCUUUUCCGCUUGUCAUGACAAUUUCUCCGUUUCCAACUCUUAUUGGAAUCUUGAUACUUCUAUCAAGUCUUGUGAAGUAACUCUCUUCUUUUGUCAUGUGAUUAGUGCAACCACUAUCCACAAGCCAUACAUCAUCUUUUAUGGUUGUGGGUGUUUCUUCUCUUGCACUAAACAACAUGUGAUCUUCAGUAUCUUCAUCUUCAAGGCUUAUGUGUGCCUUUUCAACCUUCUUUGAACGACAUUCUCUUGAAAAAUGCCCAACCUUGCCACAAUUAUAGCAUUCCUUCUUGUUCCAUGAAUUUUUGCUUUGAUCUCCCUUCUUUGGUUUCUUCCAGCAAUUAGAUUCUGUGUGAUUGUCUCUUUUACAGAAUCCACACCAUUUUUUGUCUUUCCCUUGAUACCCACGGCUUUUGUUAUUCUCUGGUCUGAACCCAGAUUUUUCUCCUCCUGAACGAACAUUAAACGCCCCUUCCGUUGAUCGUUCGUCUCGAAGAGAUACACGCUUCUCGUGUGCUUUCAACGUGCCUAUCAAUUCUGUAACUGAUAGCACAGUUAAAUCUUUGGUUUGUUCCAGCACCGCUACAAUGCUAUCAAACCUUUCGGGUAGUGAAAUCAGAAUCUUUUGGACUAUUUGAUAGUCUGAUUUCUCUUCUCCAUGAACUCUAAGUUGAUUUCCCAUCUCAAUCAACUUUGUCGUAAAAGUGUUGAUAUUGUCACUUUCAUUCAUCUUCAAAUUCUCAUACUCCCUUCUAAGAGAUUGAAGUUUUAUCAUCCUCACUUGUGGUGAUCCUUGAAAUUCGGUUUGCAGAGAAUCCCAAGCCUCCUUUGAUGUUUGUGCUGGUGCUAUGCGAGAGAAGAUCUGAUCUGAAACUGCAGUUUGUAGAAUUUGCAGUGCCAUCAAAUCGUUUGUUGAUGCUUCCUCCCACUCUGUUUUCAAUUGGCGCACUUCCGGUGUCUCUUCCGUUUGCGUCGGUUUGGUCGGAACUCCGUUUUCCACCACCGUCCAUAACUUUCUGGUCUUCAAGAUGGUUGUCAUCUUAAUACGCCAGAAGUCGUAAUUGUUCCCAUAAAAAAUGGGAAUCACUUGUUGCGAUGUUGCUUCCAUCGCCGCUUUUGCUUGAUCUUUGUGCAGUUACUUGUGCGAUUGUUGCUCUUGCAGAAUUCUCUCUUGAUUGUGCUUAUUUUGGCCCUCAGAUCAAUAAAGCUCUGAUACCAUGUUAGGAACUUGUGUUUCUCUGAAUAAACACAAGAACUUUCUGAUUAUCAGAAAUAUAUUCUGAUAAAACACUCUAUUUUCUACACAGAAUUUGAUAUAAAACAGAGUAUGAAGUAAGAACAGAAACUGACUCUUUAUUGAAUCUGAAACUUGGUUUUUACAUCACGUUUACAACAUCUUAAAUAGUUACAUAACAGACACAACUCAACAGACACGAUUAAACAAAGAGAUGUGUCUUUUCUACUUGUGACUCUUAAAGAAAUAACACUCCCUAACGUAACCGACACGACUCUUAAUUUGAUCUGGCCUCUCUCGAUCCCGUUGUCAUCGAACAUCGUAAUCCCAUUAUAGCUAAAUUGUUUGCGUAAAUGACUAAGAAAUGUUUUACGAACAUCAGGACCGUGGAAGCUCGUGAAGACACGAUAUUUCCAGGUGAGAGGUGAAGAAGAAAAAGACAUGAGAGAGGUUCUUGAGUGGUUCAGAAUGAGGUAUUCGGAAAGACGUGUUAGGAUAAGCCUUUCAAGGAGGAGAAAGUGGCAAAGCAGUGUUCACUUAUUGUGAGAGAGAGAAAUGGGAAGUUUCUUUGCAAAGUAAACGAAUUUUCUAUAAAGUUAAUGAAAAUAGAGAAGAAAAAAAAAUACCAUAAGUCAAGAAUUCACGUCAAUGUACUUUGGAAAACAAGUGGUCUCCAAUAUAUUAUUGCAGAACCGCG
rnacentral:lncRNA from 1 species